rnacentral:rRNA from 1 species
UACGUAGGGCGCAAGCGUUAUCCGGAAUUAUUGGGCGUAAAGAGCUCGUAUGCGGCUCAGUAAGUCGGGUGUGAAACCUCCAGGCUCAACCUGGAGACGCCACCCGAUACUGCUGUGGCUAGAGUCCAGUAGGGGAGUGUGGAAUUCCCGGUGUAGCGGUGAAAUGCGCAGAUAUCGGGAGGAACACCAGCGGCGAAGGCGGCACUCUGGGCUGGUACUGACGCUGAGGAGCGAAAGCGUGGGUAGCAAACAGG